rnacentral:rRNA from 1 species
CCUCGGGGAGGCAGCAGUGGGGAAUAUUGGACAAUGGGCGAAAGCCUGAUCCAGCCAUGCCGCGUGUGUGAAGAAGGCCUUCGGGUUGUAAAGCACUUUCAGUGGGGAAGAAAGCCUUGGGGCUAAUACCCUCGAGGAAGGACAUCACCCACAGAAGAAGCACCGGCUAACUCCGUGCCAGCAGCCGCGGUAAUACGGAGGGUGCGAGCGUUAAUCGGAAUUACUGGGCGUAAAGCGCGCGUAGGCGGUCUGAUAAGCCGGUUGUGAAAGCCCCGGGCUCAACCUGGGAACGGCAUCCGGAACUGUCAGGCUAGAGUGCAGGAGAGGAAGGUAGAAUUCCCGGUGUAGCGGUGAAAUGCGUAGAGAUCGGGAGGAAUACCAGUGGCGAAGGCGGCCUUCUGGACUGACACUGACGCUGAGGUGCGAAAGCGUGGGUAGCAAACAGGAUUAGAUACCCCUGUAGC